GAUGAACGCUGGCGGCGUGCCUAAUACAUGCAAGUCGAGCGAACAGACGAGGCGCUUGCUCCUCUGACGUUAGCGGCGGACGGGUGAGUAACACGUGGAUAACCUACCUAUAAGACUGGGAUAACUUCGGGACACCGGAGCUAAUACCGGAUAAUAUAUUGAACCGCAUGGUUCAAUAGUGAAAGACGGUUUUUCUGUCACUUAUAGAUGGUUCCGAGCUGGAUUAGCUAGUUGGUAAGUUAACGGCUUACCAAGGCAACGAUGCGUAACCGACCUGAGAGGUGGAACGGCCACACGGAAGCUGAGACACGACCCAGACACUGACGGAAGGCACAAACAGGGAAGCUACCGAAAAGUGCGAAAGCUUGACCGAUGAACGCAACGGUAAUGAAGAAGCGCUGCGGAUCGUAAAACGCUGUUAUUAGGGAAAAACAAAUGUGUAAGUAACGAUGCACGACUGAAGGUAACCGAAAAAGAAAGCCACGCCAAAUUAGUG
rnacentral:rRNA from 1 species